AGUGAGCAGAGGCCAGUGCACUCCAGUCUGGGCAACAAGAACAAGAGAGCGAAAUUCUGUCUCAAAAAAAGAAAAAGAAAAAAAGUGCAUAGAAAGGAUGAAGCCAUACAGCACACCUUGCUCUCAUUGGAUUCAUAUUACCCUUAAAUCUUCACUUAAACCAACACAAAAUUGCCACAUAUAUGACAUACAGCCUUCGAGUUUAACAAAGAUUAAGUGGGACUGUCUUUUGGCAUCUUGAUAAUUUUAUUUUAUGUACAGAAAAGGAAACUUGACAACUAAAAAGAGAAUUUAACAUAAAAUGUGAUUGUCCUCUUCCAAACUGCUUUCCCACCUGUUUGCCAGUUAUUCAACAAACGUUUAUUGAGUACCCAGUAUAUACAAGGAAUUUCCUACGCACUCUGAAGACUAAAAGGAUUAAUAAAAUGUAGCAUUCACUAGCAGGUCCCUACAUAGAAGUCAGAUAAUUUGGUUCCAGUCUUUUCAGACUUCAUUUUCCACCUUUCUCUAUUCACCCUGCAAAGCAGACACUAGUUGCCAUUCCUCAAACACACCUUGCUGUCUCACAUCUCCAUUCCUUUGUCAGUGUUCCUGACUGCCUCAGCUGCCUUUCCUUUUACACACACACACACACACACACACACACACGGAAAUAAUCUUAUACAACCCAAGGACACAGAGAGCAGUAAGAUCUCUUGAAGGACUGAAAUAGGGACCUAAUGUAUCAACAGGAAGCCAAGCAUUUGGCUUUUUUCUAUUUUUUUUUUUCUCUGCGUACAUGUUCUUCCAUCUCUGCUUCUCUCUACAAAGCUGCUUUAUAAUCUCUACAGACCUGUUUUCACUGCUUUUUUGGGAACGUAAUCCAGGUUUACCCAGCCUCACUUCAGUAACCAACAGAGACUAAUUAGUAUCUGAAUCCCAGUCCCCAGGAGAAAGAAUUUGAUUGGUUCAAUUUAUGUCAGCCUGUGUACUCUCGGUACAAUCACCUUUGACCAACAGGGCAAUUUGUAGCCAGGACUCUUUGUUUUGUAAUGCAAACAUGGCUGCCAGAACUCCAUCUUUGUAGGCUAUGUUGUCAAAGAAAGUUCUGUACUUGGCGAAGAUUCCAGAAAAUGUCCAGCACAGGCCAUAAAGGAGUAAAUCGCAGCUGAAAUUCAGAAGCAUAAAGAACAAUGGACAUGUUGAGGAUUUUCAACAGACUAACUCCUACUUGAACAAUUUCAGACCUGAAUUUAAAUGCCACUCCUUCAAAGAAGUCAUCGCUGACCCAAGCCCCAAUCAAAAUUAGGUGGCCCCAUUAUUAUCUUACAUGGCACUCUUUUUCUGUACCUAUCACAGUUUGUAAUUAAAUACGUCGUUGUGAGUCUCCUCUCGGAAGAGUCAUAUCUGUUUUGUUUACUAUGUUAUACACAAUACUCAAGGUGCAUUUGGGAGGCAUUCAAUACUUGUUGCAUGAAUAAAAAGGCACAAUAAUUUGUUAGUUAUUGUGAGACCCACAAAUGGAUUGGCAUCGUAGUUAGACAAUCCUGGGGGAAUGUCUCAGUCACCAACCCACCCUCCCUGGAAGAUAUUGAAGCUCACUGCUUUUUCCUUUUUUUUUUUUCUUCUGACCUCAUUUAUCACAAGGCUGCCAUCUUUUUUGUCACACUGAGGUUGUAUGAGAUGUGCCACAAUAUUUAUCUGCUGCUUAUGACGUUCCUCCCCAGCUAACUCUUUACUCUUAGUUGCCAGUGUCUCUAUCUGUAGAGCCCUUGAUCCAGUUCCUAUAACAAGACCACUUAACUGACUGAAAGCUCAGAGAGGACAUAAAAUUUCAGGGCAUCAUCAAAUUAGGGGAGCAAAGUGUGGGGGUAAUUGGCAGAAGUGAUUUUGUCGUAAUUGUCUUGACUAUUUUCUAUCAUGGAUUACGUUCCAGAUGAACCUGUGAUGUGACUCCUGGGAGUAGUUUGCAAUCACCAUUGGUCCAAAAGGAGCCAUCUAUGUGCUUAGUGGGGUCUAGUAAAGGAUAAUAUUAAUUCUUCAGCAGCCAGAGCUCUUGAAGUAAGAACUGAAGGUGUACAGAAAAGAGCCCGGUAUGAUUCAAGGUCAGGAGCACACAGUGGCUGCUUUCUUGUCACUUAUGGUCCAGUUGGCAUGGAUAAACUCUCAGAGCCAAGGGAAAAGAAGGGCAACCAAGCAUACCAUCUCCAGCCCCUCUCAGGAAACUAAAAAUAAAUUAAAUAAAAUGAAGAAUGUGGCGGGGAGGAGAGGAGAAAAUUUCACAUCCCAUGUUCCUCAUGUUGAUGAAGCAAUUGCUGACUUCCCUGCUGCUCACACCCAUCUUGGUGUGAAAUUUGAUUUUGCUGACUUUUAAAUUUCUUUUUGAGAAUGGAAAUAAUUGUUUUUUUCCAGAAAUACUUGACCUUAGUGGGGAAAAAGAAAUUCAAACAAUGAGAAAGCAAAAGUCCUCCCUAAUACCGUCAUCCCCCAGAGAUACCCUUGAUUAAGAGUUUGGGGUAUAGCCCUCGCGGCUUUUCAUUCUUGUAUGAUCAUGUAAAUGGAAUCAUGUAACACA